CAGGCCUGGGGCACGUGGGGGGAAGGGGGACACAGGUCACUUUUCUCAAACCGGCCUCGAAGCCCUCCUGCUCCAGAAAGCCUUUGCCGGUCAGUCUCCCCUCACCCACCACCACCUGGCUCUCUCCCAGAGUCCCAGGAGGCCAGGCGGGCAGAAGUCCUCGCCUUCUGCCUCUUCAGGUUCCUGCCCUCAAGGACCAAAGAGCUCUCUGAACAAAGGAGACAAAGUACAUUCACGAUGCCAAGGCCAAAAUGGGGACAUUCCUUCCACACGUGCCUCAGAGACACCCUCACCUCCAUGGCAGCAGAAGAUUUUCUCGUCCACAAUGGCAGCAAUGGGCAGGCAGUUGAAGCAGUCGGUGAAGGUUUUCCACAGUUUAAUGUUGUAGCGCCUCUUGCCUGCCAGGAGGGAGAUGCCUCGUGAGGCCCAGCUGCCCCCCCCCCCUGCCCUGGCACGCUCAGACACAGCUGGGGGAAAAAUGGAAGGCAAGAGAAGCCCCCUUCCCUGACUCCACUGCCUACCAGCCAUCCUGGAAGAAUUCUAAAGCAGCGGAGUCCACAGGAACCUCAGUUCCAAUAUGGAACAACCCACCCCCACCCGGUGAGCAGGGCCAGGCCAAGACUAGGUCUGGUUUAUCUCCGCUUCUGGUAGACAGAACCCAGUCCAAAUAGGCAUCCUAAGUGCUUAAUGGAUGUACUGGAGGGGAGUGUCAUCAGGCAGGGCCCCACAUGAGAAUAUAUAUGGUCCUCAGUCAACAGCCAUUCACCAGACCCCUCCUGAGUGCCAGGCCCCGUGCCAGGAGGGCAGGGUGGAGAGCCAUGAACCGACGUGCACCCUUCAUAGAGCUCAUACUCUGCAGGUACCUGUCAGACACUAAUACCUCUACUGCCAGGCCAAUGUGAGGGUCCCACUGAGUAGCGGAGUCCCUCACGGACUUGGGCAACCCCAGAUACUCUGCCUACUCACACUCGUCAUAGAAGCCAUAGAUGCGGUUGAUGCUGGCACACUCGUGGUUCCCACGGAGCAGGAAGAAGUUCUCUGGGUACUUGAUCUUAUAGGCCAGCAGCAGGCAGAUGGUCUC